rnacentral:rRNA from 1 species
GACGAACGCUGGCGGCGUGCCUAAUACAUGCAAGUCGAGCGGACUUUCAAGAAGCUUGCUUUUUGAAAGUUAGCGGCGGACGGGCGAGUAACACGUGGGCAACCUGCCUGUAAGACAGGGAUAACUCCGGGAAACCGGGGCUAAUACCGGAUAAUAUCUUUCUUCGCAUGAAGGAAGGUUGAAAGGCGGCGCAAGCUGAUGCUUGCAGAUGGGCCCGCGGCGCAUUAGCCAGUUGGUGAGGUAACGGCUCACCAAGGCGACGAUGCGUAGCCGACCUGAGAGGGUGAUCGGCCACACUGAGACUGAGACACGGCCCAGACUCCUACGGGAGGCAGCAGUAGGGAAUCAUCCGCAAUGGACGAAAGUCUGACGGAGCAACGCCGCGUGAGCGAAGAAGGUCUUCGGAUCGUAAAGCUCUGUUGUCAGGGAAGAACAAGUACCGUUCGAAUAGGGCGGUACCUUGACGGUACCUGACCAGAAAGCCACGGCUAACUACGUGCCAGCCGCCGCCGUAA